AGGAGGAACCCCCAUCACUUAGAGAAAUCUAAGUUUGAUAAAAGAAAAAUGAGUUCUAAUGAAGAUACUCCCCCAAGGAGGGUAAGAGAAAAUACGAAUAUGCCUCCCCAGCCUGCUGCCCCAGUAGUUCGGCAGAGGCUCCACCACCACCAAAGGAGAGGUGGGAUGCGUGCGACGGCACGACUAUCAAGAGAAAUGGCUACUAUGGCAGCCAACAUGAGGG
rnacentral:lncRNA from 1 species